GUGUGAACAAAACUCCACUUUCUUGGGAAUGUCGACUCUUGUCUAUCCAGAGGCCCUCCCCAACUUGUUGCAAAGCUAGGGGGCGAUCAAGUACUUCCAGAAGCUCAUGGGCUUCAGCAAUCUACCUCUCCAUUCAUCCAAUUGAUCCCUCACAGUGUGCAGUAUUCCUUGUCCUGUAGUGUCUGAUAUUAUUCUUUAUAUGAAAAUAGAGCCCAUCACGCUGCGCAAUCCACAAAGGACCCCUUGGGAUGCUCAAGAAUCUCUUAACUUGUCUCCCCUGCCCUGUAUACACACUCCAUGAUCAGAAAACUAGGAGUAUGUUAUAAGUGGAGUUCUUCUUCCUCAUCAUCCUGCUUCCCAACUCAACUGGAAUGAGAUCUGUUUUACGGUGUCUCUGAAGGCUUGGCAAAAGCAUGUCUUUUCCAUGGAACAACCAUGUUUUGACUGAGCUCUGCAAGUCUGAGACAAAAGCAACCAUCUUGUGCCACCUUAAAAACCAACAUUUAUUAAGAUGGGGUGAAAGCAGACAUAGACUCAAGUUUGCAAAUGUGUGUGUCAUAAUAAAUCAGUCUUCAAGGCAGAAAAAACCACUGGUUCUGCUGCAACAGAUCAACACAGCUAGUGUACUGUGUCCCUGUGGAAGCCUUUAGAAUAAGUGCCAUGUGUCCACUAACUCUAACUUUUGGGUAAGGGCGCAGAAGUGAUGGAUCCUCUCCACCACUCAUAGAUACUUCUGCUUACCUAUAUUUUAUUGUUUACCCAUCUUUUUGGCCCUGUUGUGCUGGUAGUGGGUCUACAACCCUCAACAGAUUCUUCCUGCAUGGUGAAGAGUUAAAACUAUAGGAACUGUAAUUAAAAAAACAUAAUUUGGAGGACCAGAGAUUCUUCACCCUGAUUUGUUCUUUGUUUGUUUGCUGUUUUUUGACUUUCAUGACUUAUGGAAUUACAGUGCAAGCCAAAACAUGUCUGCUUAGAAACAAGGUCCAUUAAGCUAAGUGGAACCCAAGGCUCUUCAAGUUGGAGCAAACAGUAAAAGUACCGGGUUCUGCACUGUUGGUUUCUCCUGCCAUCCAAACAAUGCAAGCCUUGAUCCAAUGUGUGAAGUGCCUUUUCCCCUACUUUGCCAUGCUUUUUUUUGUCUCUGCUGAGGGGGUGGUUUAUUUUUCCCCAGAGUUGGUUCUGGAGAGAGAGGGGUUUGGUGCUAUGACACUUUCAGUGACAAUUUGUUUAUACAUCAGAUACUCAGAGUCAGAAGAUGUGGUGUCCACCCAGGACAUGAAUAUUAAUGUGCUAUCUGCAUGGACCAAUGAGAGUGUUGGAGAGGUGGAGUCAUGAGAUAUAAGAGUCUCUGCAGGAGGAAGAGGGGGGAGAUUGAGAGUUGGAGAGAUUAGAU